AAAGUUCGACAGACAAUCGCUGGCGGCGCUAGCCGCGAGAGGAAAGUCCGGGCUCCACAGGGCAGGAUGCUGGAUAACGUCCAGUCGGCGCGAGCCGAAGGAUAGUGCCACAGAAAUGGACCGCCGAUGAUCUCGUCCCUGCUUAGUGGGAGAUGAGAAACAGGCAAGGAUGGAACCGUGGUGUAAGAGACCACGAGGAGCAUGGGCGACCCUGUUCCUGGUAAACCCCAUCUGGAGCAAGACCGAAGAGAACGCGGCGGCUCUCGAGGCCGCAGCCCUUGCCCGGGGCGCGUUCGGGUUGGUCGCUUGAGCCUGUCGGCAACGGCAGGCCUAGAAAGAUGAUUGUCGCUUCCAUCCGUGGGAGGACCGCCCGGUCCGCGAUACCACCGGAAGUACAGAACCCGGCUUACGGCGAACUUUCCGG
rnacentral:RNase_P_RNA from 1 species